GGGUGUGGCUCAGUGGUAGGGAACUUGCCUCGCAUGCUUGAGGCUCUGGGUUCCAUUCCCAGCACUGACA
rnacentral:tRNA from 1 species